CCUACGGGUGGCAGCAGUAGGGAAUAUUGCUCAAUGGGGGAAACCCUGAAGCAGCAACGCCGCGUGGAGGAUGAAGGUUUUAGGAUUGUAAACUCCUUUUGUUAGAGAAGAUUAUGACGGUAUCUAACGAAUAAGCACCGGCUAACUCCGUGCCAGCAGCCGCGGUAAUACGGAGGGUGCAAUCGUUACCCGGAAUCACUGGGCGUAAAGAGGGCGUAGGCGGGGUAAUAAGUACGAUGUGAAAUGCUGUAGCUUAACUACAGAACUGCAUUUGAGACUGUUACUCUGGAGUGUGGGAGAGGGAGGUGGAAUUCUUGGUGUAGGAGUGAAAUGCGUAGAGAUCGAGAGGAAUACUCGUGGUGAAGGCGAGCUGCUGGAACAUUACUGACGCUGAUGCACGAAGGCGUGGGGAGCGAAAGGGAUUAGAUACCCGGGUAGUC
rnacentral:rRNA from 1 species